rnacentral:lncRNA from 1 species
GUGAUAUUGUUUGUAAUAUCCUAGAAAGAUGUUGCUCCUAAUAUCACAGUGGCUGCACACCCUGUGAUAUUAAUUGUAAUAUCCUACAGAGAUAUCACUCUUAAUAAUACAGUGGGUGUACACCCUGUGAUAUUUUUCAUAAUAUAUUAAGGAGAUAUGACUCCUGAUAUCACAGUGAGUGUACACCCUGUUUGUACACCCUGUGAUAUGAUUUGUAACAACUUAGAAAAAUAUUACAGCUAAUAUCAAGGAAGGAGAAUUGCUUGAAUCCAGGAGGCGGAGGUU